rnacentral:rRNA from 1 species
GAGUUUGAUCCUGGCUCAGAUUGAACGCUGGCGGCAUGCCUUACACAUGCAAGUCGAACGGCAGCAUGAUCUAGCUUGCUAGAUUGAUGGCGAGUGGCGAACGGGUGAGUAAUACAUCGGAACGUGCCCUGUAGUGGGGGAUAACUAGUCGAAAGAUUAGCUAAUACCGCAUACGACCUGAGGGUGAAAGUGGGGGACCGCAAGGCCUCAUGCUAUAGGAGCGGCCGAUGUCUGAUUAGCUAGUUGGUGGGGUAAAGGCCCACCAAGGCGACGAUCAGUAGCUGGUCUGAGAGGACGAUCAGCCACACUGGGACUGAGACACGGCCCAGACUCCUACGGGAGGCAGCAGUGGGGAAUUUUGGACAAUGGGCGAAAGCCUGAUCCAGCAAUGCCGCGUGUGCGAAGAAGGCCU